AACUAAUAUUUCAAACCCAGUGGCCUGGAACCCGAAUUCGUCUCGAGUUUUAAAUAGUUCUCUAUUUCCACUUCGCCGGUGCAGUCUGUUGUACAUCGCCCACAAAAUUGCAAGAUUUUCUAUAUCUUCUGAAACAUUCAUUUUAAAUCGUUACAAUUGUAAUUUUAAAUUCUGAAUAAAUUGUUUGUUUGCAUAUUUGACAGCAAUGCAACUCUGGGAUGUAUACGCACGCAAGCCAAUCUCGGUUGUCGCAAAUAAACAAAUUAGACGGCAUGCGAAUUGUGUAUUAAGUUGCAUGUGCAUGAGAAAUUGUUGACAGUAAAUUGACGGCGUGCAUGAAUAUUAGGUUAGCCUGUUAGGCGUGUUUUUAGUAGCUUUUUGCGAAAAGUUACUUUGCCAUACUUACGGCGCGUUUACAGUAGACAAUGCUGUCAAGACAAUAAGAAAUACGUAUUAGUUGUCAAAAACGCUAAUAAUUUUAUCCGUGGCGUAGGCGUCCUGACAAUAGUUAUAUGCCGUAAAGAGAAUUGCAGCGGAUAGCGGGUAACGGGCCGACGGGUGGCGAACAGCUGAUCCAUUCCAGUCGGGAAAAUACGGACGGGUAAACACAAUUGCGACGGGAACGGUAAACACUAUUGCGACGGAACAUUUUGUGGUUUACAAUAAAAUUAAUUUUGUAGUAAAAUCUUUUCGUUUGCUUUAAUUGUGAGUGCGUGCAAAAAUGUCCAAUAUUGAAAGAUUGUUGCGGAUAAUAAAAAUUAUAUGCAUAAUGAGCACAAUGUACGUGAUGUACAUGGAGGCGAGCAAGCUGUUGAAAAGGAGGUGGUGGGUGCGUCCUGCGAACCUCACCAGGAAUGAGUUUGGGUUCCAUGGAACAUGUUUUCAACAACUUAAGCUGGAGGACGAGGAGCACUUUUUCAAAGCCACUAGGAUGAGUGUUCCCAAGUUUCAAACUCUUUUGACAUUGAUAAAAGAAAGACUACAGCGUUUUUCAAGAAGAGCGCCAAUAAAUGAAGAAGCUCGCUGCACUGACACUGAUCUACUUAUCGCAAGGAUGCAGCCCACAAUAUCUCGCCUGGUCGCACAAAAUGGGGGUAUCGACAGUAAGGGAGAUAGUUUACGAUACUUGCAAUGCCUUAUGGACAGAACUGCAUGACGUCUACGUCGCUCAGCCCAAUGAGCAUGAAUGGAAACAAAUAUCAGACAGGUUUUAAUUUAAAACGGGAAUGCCGAAUUGUGUUGGAGCGCUCGAUGGCAAACAUAUAAAAAUAGUUUGCCCGUUAUAAAAAAAACGUAUAGUAUCGUGCUAAUGGCAGCCUGCGAUUCCAACUACACGUUUACUUUUGUGGACUCUGGGUGCGAUGGAAAGCGAGAGUGAUGGUGGAAUUUUUUCACGUAGUUCAUUUGGCAAAAUGAUUUUAAGAGGACACUUAAAUAUUCCGCCAGAUAAUGCAAUUCCUGGAACAGAGACAACAUUCCAAUAUUAUUUUGUGGGAGAUAAUGCAUUCCCACUGAAACACAACUUGAUGCGUCCAUAUCCUGGCCGGAACUUAUCAGCUAUAAAGGACAACUUCAACAAAAAAUUACCACGUGCUCGUGUGCAUAUUGAAAAUUCAUUUGGAAUUUUGGCUAGCAGGUGGAGAAUUCUACACACGAAUAUUUACGCAGCACCAAAACAAUGUGGAUAAAAUUGUGUUAGCGGCAAUUGUGCUGCAUAACUAUCUAAUGCUCGAUAAGAAGAGUGGAUAUUUCAAUGAAGAACUCGUGGACCACCUCGAAAAUGGUGUUGAGGUGCCAGGCACUUGGAGGGAAUCCCACGCUGGGCUGCCUUCUUGCAGAAUCGCCCAAGCGAAUCGGUCAUGUGCAGAUGCAUUUAGGAGUAGAGACACACUGGCCGAUAUACUAUUUAAUAAUUGAGGACGCCGCAUCCGAUUUGUUGCUAAGCGUGUCUUCAGUGUUGUAACUUUUACCACUGUACUUAUUAAAAUUCAAUUUCAUUUGUUUCUAUUUGAUUUAAAAUUUAAUUUAAUUUCAAAUUCUAUUUAUAACAUAUUCAUACACUUCUUGACAAAUAAAUAUGUAAGUACAGCCCGGGACAAAACGAUAGCACCUCAACAUUUCGAUCAGUUUUCUCUAUUUGUGGUUUGUUUAAUGUUCAUUACUAGACUGCGGAUGUUUAUGCAGAAAACGGAGCCUAAAAAUAUUUACCCCAUAACUAUAAACAAAAUGUAUGCACAUAUAUAUAUUUUGCUUAUAGUUAAGUGGUUAGGCUUCGUUUUCUGGAUAAACACCCGCACUAGGCAUUAAUUUUCUAUAAAAAGUACAGCUGU